rnacentral:rRNA from 1 species
GAUGAACGCUAGCGGCAGGCUUAACACAUGCAAGUCGAGGGGCAGCGCGAGGUGUAGCAAUACACUUUGGCGGCGACCGGCGGAAGGGUGCGUAACACGUGAGCGACAUGCCCUUGUCAGGGGGAUAACCGCUGGAAACGGCGACUAAUACCCCAUGGUCCUGUGCGGAUGCAUGUCCGUGCAGGUAAAGGAGAGAUCCGGACAAGGAUUGGCUCGCGCCGCAUUAGCCAGCAGGCGGGGUAACGGCCCACCUGGGCGACGAUGCGUAGGGGCCCUGAGAGGGGGGUCCCCCACACUGGGACUGAGACACGGCCCAGACUCCUACGGGAGGCAGCAGUGAGGAAUAUUGGACAAUGGAGGGAACUCUGAUCCAGCCAUGCCGCGUGAGGGAAUUAGGCCCUACGGGUCGAGAACCUCUUUAGGCCGGGAGCAAUAAGGGCCACGAGAUGGCCCGAUGAGAGUACCGGCAGAAUAAGCAUCGGCUAACUCCGUGCCAGCAGCCGCGGUAAUACGGGGGAUGCGAGCGUUAUCCGGAUUCAUUGGGUUUAAAGGGUGCGCAGGCGGCCAUGUAAGUCAGCGGUGAAACCCCCGGGCUCAACCUGGGGCAUGCCGUUGAUACUGUGUGGCUGGAGUACGGACGCCGCCGGAGGAAUGUGUGGUGUAGCGGUGAAAUGCAUAGAUAUCACACAGAACACCGAUUGCGGAGGCAUCUGGCGAGGCCGUCACUGACGCUGAGGCACGAAAGCGUGGGGAUCGAACAGGAUUAGAUACCCUGGUAGUCCACGCCGUAAACGAUGAUGGCUAGCCGUCGGGACGCGAGUUCCGGUGGUCAAGGGAAACCGAUAAGCCAUCCACCUGGGGAGUACGGCCGCAAGGCUGAAACUCAAAGGAAUUGACGGGGGCCCGCACAAGCGGAGGAACAUGUGGUUUAAUUCGAUGAUACGCGAGGAACCUUACCCGGGCUCGAACGGCUGGGGAAUUGAUCAGAGAUGGUCAAGUCUUCGGACUCCAGCCGAGGUGCUGCAUGGUUGUCGUCAGCUCGUGCCGUGAGGUGUCGGCUUAAGUGCCAUAACGAGCGCAACCCCUGCGGUCAGUUGCCAUCAAGUAAAGUUGGGGACUCUGGCCGGACUGCCGCCGCAAGGUGAGAGGAAGGGGGGGAUGACGUCAAAUCAGCACGGCCCUUACGUCCGGGGCGACACACGUGUUACAAUGGGGGGUACAGAGGGGAGCCAGGCGGUGACGCCGAGCGGAUCCCGAAAGCCCCUCCCAGUUCGGAUCGGAGUCUGCAACCCGACUCCGUGAAGCUGGAUUCGCUAGUAAUCGCGCAUCAGCCAUGGCGCGGUGAAUACGUUCCCGGGCCUUGUACACACCGCCCGUCAAGCCAUGGGAGCCGGGAGCGCCUGAAGUCCGUGACCGCGAGGAGCGGCCUAGGGCGAGACCGGUGACUGGGGC